AGAGAUUUGGAAGUGCUCGCAAGAGAACCGGAACACAGGUGCUGCAUGGCUGUCGUCAGCUCGGGUCGUGAGAUGUUGGGUUAAGUCCCGCAACGAGCGCAACCCUUGUCAUUAGUUGCUACGAAAGGGCACUCUAAUGAGACUGCCGGUGACAAACCGGAGGAAGGUGGGGAUGACGUCAAGUCCUCAUGGCCCUUAUGGGUAGGGCUUCACACGUCAUACAAUGGUCGGGACAGAGGGUCGCCAACCCGCGAGGGGGAGCCAAUCCCAGAAACCCGAUCGUAGUCCGGAUCGCAGUCUGCAACUCGACUGCGUGAAGUCGGAAUCGCUAGUAAUCGCGGAUCAGCAUGUCGCGGUGAAUACGUUCCCGGGUCUUGUACACACCG
rnacentral:rRNA from 1 species